AGCCAAAUUAGUGAUAAAGCUGGGAACAUAUACAUUAGUUGUCCAUUCUCCCAGCCUGCCUCAUAUUAACACGCCCUCCCUCUUUCUACAGUGUCCUGCUAAAUACACGUCUGAAUACGGCCACUCUUCUUUCUUCCCAGCAGUCAGCAACACACGCUGAUAGCUCCAGUGCUGCCUCAUCAUUUCUAAUGCCCUGGUUUCUUUUUCUUUUCGCCUUCAGAGAUGGACGUUUGCUUGUUUCCCUGACAAGAGUCCAACCUCGCGAGCCAAACAUCCAGCCUCGGUCCGGUGAGGUCACGUGAGGCAGCAUUCCUAUUUCAAGUGAGCAGCUGGCUAAGGAAGGAUUUGUGCUGUGUUUGCUGGCAGGAAAUGCUGCCAAAGCGUUUGGGCUUUCCUGCGUCCUGCUGGGCUGCUUUCUGCAGUCUGCUGCUCCAGACUAUCUCCAACUGCCCUCCCAUUGCCGAGAGGAGGUUUAUUUGCUGCUUUGAACAGGACCCCUCCCUCCCCAAACCAGCUUGGAAAGGAGAAUAUGGCCCUAAGGAGAGUAAAGAGACAAAAGGAUUGGAAGAGUAAGCAGAAGUGAAGGAGAAGAAGAGAUGCUGUCAUAUGGGGGAAGCAAGUCAUCCACAGCCACCCAUUUGAAGGUGGUGACUUCCAUGCUCACCUCCAUCUCUGUACAAGUGAAAGUGGCACUUGGAAGAAAAGGGAAUUUGUUUCCUACAUCUGUGGAACAAGGCUCUAUCUAUGCAGCCACUGCUGCAGACACAUGUCAUUUUAGACACACAUUUUUUCCCCUCAUCUUUCUUUCAUUCUUUGGAUCUGCUCCAUACCAGGGUCUUAGCAACAGUCCACCCUCCAUGAGUGCCAGUUUCUAUGCUCUGCAAUCCAGUUCACAAAUGACUGUCCACCCCCUUGCUAAUGACUGUCCCCACCCAUAUGCUAAGAUCUCAAAAGAUUUCGAGCUCUUAGUGUAUCUCAGAAGAGAUUUCAAAGACCAUGGCCUGGUGUUGUGACAUGUUUUUGGAGAAUAAGCUUAGUAGAAUCAGCUGAAGGCCCAAAUGCCACUCUUAACCACGGCUGGUACUUGAACGCUGGACUGAGAAUCUGACAAAGAUAUCCUUGUCAGAUUUUUCUCUGGUAUUUCUUAAACUUGACCAGUUUGGAAAUUACGUUCAAACAGCCCCAGUAAGAGUUAUUAACGUUGGAUGUAGCCCAUCAAGGAUUGAGAUAUAGUACAUUUUAUGAACGUAAUGAGAACAUUGUUUGACCCGAGGAAUGGCUUUGGCUCAGUAAAAGUCUGAGGAGCUAUGUUCUACUGCCACAGAAGGAAGAAGUCAAUUAGACCACACAAAGUACUCAGUGCUAAAGAGCUUUGGUUGGCUGAAGAAAGCUGGUCUCCACAGCCAUCAUAGGCUACAUAUUUGCUACCUGAUUAUCUUUAGGGAAUGCCAGACUGUGCAACCAAUGCAACCCUUUAUCUGCACAGUGAUUCCUCACCUUCUUCUUGCAGAAAAGCUAGAAACGCUAUGCAUUUAAUAUUGAUCAGGGCUGCAGUCCCUCUGUACUUGAAAGACUUAUGUCCUAUACUGUUUCUGAGGCUCUGAUCCAGAAGCUUGCUGGGCAUCUCUCUAUGUACAGUAAAAUCUUACCCUCUCUCCUCGGUCUCCUUUGGAACCUUUUGGGCCGGGUUGUCCUGGAGAGCCUGGUAAGCCCUAGAAGAGAUGCAGAAAAGAAGGAAUUAAUUUCCACUGUGCAUCCUUUGUGUAGGUGUACUGAAUACAUUUCCCAGUGAUCCUCAGUUCCUGAAAACUUCAUAUACCCAUUAAGCGACUGGGCUGGAUUCUCUUUUGGCAUCAAGCCUGCCUGCAUACUUAAUGUAAAAAGAGAGUAAAACAUAACACGUGGACCUACUCACAGUGGUGAAGGGGGCGGUUCUACAACUUAAUUGUAAACAUGCACCUUGUAUGUUGUGUUUUAAUAAGUCCUGUCUGUAUCUGGUUAGUGCUCAUCAACGAAUGUAGGGGAAAACAGUAUGUUUAGUCUAGUAUGUUAAAACACAGAAACAUUACAGAAUUUGGUGGGGAUAAAGGAGCAUGCAGUGGAUCCAGCUCAUUUGUUGGUGCAAGAAGCCACUGGAAGUUCUUCUUGCAGAUUUCCUGAAACCAUGCAGGGGCCUACAGCCUCUGCAGAUCACUCUCUUCAGGUCUUUUAAUGCACUGUAUGUCACUGAGGUAACAUUUGGCAAUGGGUCAGUAUGACAAGACAGUUCUUGUUCUCAGUUAUCCUGAAAAAAUUUAUAAACAGAUAAUAUGGCUAGCCUAAAACCCCCCACUAUUUUCCCCCUGUUCAUAACAGCCUCGGUGGGUGGCAUGAGUAAGCAUACAUACCUGAAAAUUAAUUGGACUGUGCAGCGGAAAUUAUUUUGAAGCGAUUUACUCACCCUAACAAUUUUCAAAUUAAGCUCAAUCUCUACUAAUAAUUUUGCUCCCUGGGCUGAAUAAAUCUAUAAAGCAGUCACCAAUGGAUAAGAAGGGCAUUUUCUCCAGACUUCUACUAAUUGAACUGCUUUGCAGAAAUCAAUCCAACCUCUUAAAUUACCCACCCAGUGAAGCCUCACUUGUAAGCCAGACAGGAAGAGAACAAUAUUGUUUGUUUAUAUUUCCCAUGACAGCUCCUCAGCUCCCUGUAACCAUACGCAAGAUGCUUUUUACCACCUUAAGUGACUCGCACACCACCUUGGACACUGUAGCAAAUGAGACUACCGCUCCACUCCAAACCACGGGUGAUUUAAGCAAAACUGCAUAAUAACAGUCCCCAGAAACUACCACCUCUCAGGAUCCAAAGAAAUGGGCUUCCUAGGCAUCCCUGUGAGGGGCAAAGCCUCUCAGCAUCUGGUUAAGUGGUCCAAGAAGACCGGGCAUUAAUGUUUUACGGGACUAAAGGAGCUGGGAGGCAGCAAUGCUCACCAUCAGCAGCUGCUUAGCCACAUCUUCCCACACAGGGGAUUCAGAAGCUCCACCAGCUUUUGGAGGUUAUCUAUGGAUGGUGAACAAGCUGGGGGACAAACGAGGCUUGGCUCGAGGUCAAACAUGCAGCAUGAGCAAAGCCCAAGUGUCCAUAGGUGCCCUUUGCGCUUGCCAGCCUCAACAGUGACUUUCAGUGUCUGUUUACACAUGGAUGUUCAAGAACACUGAAUUCAAUAAAUGUCAGAAAAAAUGAAAAAUUUACUAUGUGUGCUGCAUGCGAAAAAGCCAGACUGCUACAGAACCUACGAUUUUGCCCAUGUGAAUUACCUUGUGUUUAAUCACGUUUAACUGCAUCUGUCAUUUUGCUGCCAAAUUUCCCACUGUGUUCAUAUCUAUCUGGAGUUUCUUGCAGUCCUCCAGAGCGUUCACUAAUUGAAAUGACUCUGCUACACUAACAAAAGUUCACUAAGUUGCUGUCCAUUGCUUCUUCCAAGUGAUUAAUAAAUACACAGUAAAAUCUCAUUUCUCUAA